GCCUCAUGAAUAUGCUAGCAUGGUUUGGAGCCGACCACGGAAGUCACAGUUUAAGAGCUCGAGGAGGAGGGGCAUGUGGAGGUUUCCGCCGCCAGUGGCUGCACUGCUGGUCUUCGUCGCCUGCUGCUGUCAGAUCCAGCAUGACCUAUCCUAUCGGUUCUCCAUCGCUUCACUCUGCUUCAUGUGCAUAUGUGCGGAGAAUAUGACGACCCGCCCCUGUUCUUCACCAGCCACACUCUCCCUUAUGCGCACAAUAACCAUCAUCGCAGAAGCUUAGCUGAUAGGCGGUGAGCUUUUUGGAGGAAGCGGAGACGAAGAUUUCUAUUGGCCAAAAAGAUGGAGGCGCCAUGGGAAGCACUGACGAGCAACAGUCUCAGCCGAUGCAUCGACGAGCUGAGGCGGGCUUCCAAUAGAGAAAUAAGGAGGAUAAUAAGACUAUUGGAGGUCACCAUUCAAGGAUUUUGAUAUCUGAAUGUUAUGACAAUAGCCCUCCGCGUCCUGGUGGCCACUGUAUGCUGCAGCGAAGGGCACACUUCAAUUAGUGUGCAGGCAAAUGCGCUGAUCCCGGGUGUGAUUUGACAUUGUGAUUUGCAGUUUAUCAAGGUCGUCAUUAGCCGAGCCGUUCCUAUGCUUCGAUACACAUGCCUGAAUCUGGAUACACUCCAGUGCUGAUGGUAAUACUUUCAGUCACUCACAAACAAUAAGCUUCAGCAUACAAAGCAGAGCCCAAUGCUAUUGGAUUGGUGUACUGGUAUGCAAUUCCUUGUACAUUUUACUUCUAUAUAGGAUUUCCGAUUACUGGGUGCAAACUUUGUACAAGGCAGUCUGAGCUACCACUUGGUGAAGAUGCGAUCCAAUAUGUUCAGUGAUACCCUUUUUUGUGUGUAGGGAAUCACUGAUAUGAUACAACUAUUUGUUAUCUGAAUUUUUGAAUAUAUGUACACCCAUGGUGAUGUUUCGGUGCUCAUUUAUAAAGCAUUCGUCUAUGAAUGAAUUUUCUGAAUAUUACCACA